GGAGCAGAUAACGCACGGGUUGAGUUUGAUGGCCAAGGCUUUUAGAUCGACAUCAUGAAAAAUGAUGUGUGCUUUAUCAGUACUUCUGCUAAUACGGAAAUUAUGUUCCUUCAAUUGGUGGACAGAUGGUUUAGUUGGUAUGCAGCCUCAACCAGCCUUCAGAGUGUGUGAGAGUACAGCUUCGGCAUAAUCACGGUGUUGCGAGUGGGGAGACUUGUAAACAAGUUAUCUGCAAGUUUAUUGUUGCCAUAUAGUGUUAUGAUGCAAUCAUAGGAAAAGUGUUCUCCAAUUCUGAACCUGGUUGAUGUCUCAGGCAUCACAAUAAGUCAGCAGGAUACCAGGAGUCAAGUACGGUACUUCGUUCUUCACCAACACUUUUCAACAAAAACUACCUAUCUGCUGACAGGAGGCACUGCUGUCUGGUACUGGGACAGGGCUGGCCAGCAGAUACGACCACUCGUCACUGCGUGGAUCCGAGAUAACUGCUUACUCAAUUAAUUGGGAUCACUUGUCAGAUGGUACAUGUAACCAGA